CAGAGACUAUACUUUCACAGUUGUUUCAGAUGUCUGCAAAAGAAAGAAACGACACUGAAGGGGAACUUGAACUAAAAAUAUUCAUACAGUGACUAUUCAUCAGUUAAUAGAAAUCCUGGUUAAAUAGCUUCUAUACACACAAAAUAAUUAAUCUACAGUCCCCAUGGGAAUUUAGGAAUCCAGCUCUAUGGGAAAAAAAAAAAAAAAAGAAAAGAAAAAAAAAAGAAAAAAAAAGCAGCUCUGAAACGAAUUAAACACAUUUUAAAUGGUUUUAAAUAUUAUUUUGUGGACAGUAUAAAUUAGGUGAAAAGGAUGAGUUGUCUAUCUUGAUUUUCAUUCUUUUAAACCUUAUAUUGGGAUAGCAUUAUAUUCUACAUCCAGCAUGGCUUUCCAUUUUCAUGGACCCUCUAUCUGUGUCAUCCAUUUUGAUUUAAGCAAAAAUUAAGAAUGCCUUAGUUGUUGCUGAAGAUGUAUUUAUUCAUCUAUUUUAAAUUUCCCAGUAAUUUUGUUGUAUUUUAUUUUCUAAGUAAUUAAGAGAUUUUCUUGAUUUGUUUUGUAAUGCACAGCACUAGGGAAAAUUAAUGGUUUUUAUAAUCUCAGACAAAUAUAAGAAUACUUAACACUUAAAAAUGUAUUGAAGGAGGAAAAUGUUGGGAAAAGAUCAAUUACAUACAACCCUUGAGGAAAUAAAAUUUUGGCUUGAAUGAUUAAUAUACAGCAUCUCAAGAAUUCACUGAAACCCAUCUUAAACUUCUUGAUGUGAUCAAUUCCAUUUUAUUGCUGUGAGAUUUAUGCAGUAAAACAAAUAAGUGGUUGAUUUAUUUAGCGUUCCACUUGUGUGACAAAGCAUAUAAGGAACGAAGAAACAUGAACUCAUCUGAUGUACGGAAAAGAACUGACUGUAUGCUAAUACUGUUAAGUGAUGUAUGAAGAUGAUAGUAAUUUUAGACUUUAUUUUUUUUGUCAUUUUUUAAUGGUUUCUAAAUGAAUCAUGCACUCCAAAUAAGGAUUCGAUUAAAUGAACUAUUUUUGCAUUCAACCUUUAAUAUUAUAUGUGCAGUACAAAAUCCCAGUAUUUUAGGAAGUUUAAAAUUAUGCAUUCUGAAUGGAAACUGAUGUUCUCUGUUUAAAUCAAGAAUAUGCAGUGCAAUGGAAAUGUAUUACAAACUUCCUAGGUGUUUUUCUUCCAAACCAUGUGCUGGUGAUACCAUCACUGGAAUGAAAGAGUCAGCUAUUUUGUCCAUGUAUAUUAUACACCACAGUUUUUUGAUGCAGUCAGUAAAAAAGGUAACAAUGAGGAGUAAAGAUGUUUGUCUAAGAAGGAAACUGAAAUUAAUUCUGGACAACACAGAAGAUCGGAAGAGACACUGUAUAGAGUGUACAGGGAUCCUUUCCUUCCCGGUAUCAUUUUAUGAACAGCUGAAUGCUACAGAGAGUUAAAGGGCUGAAGAGGUAACAGCUGAGUGGAAGACUAAUCAGUUUGUUACAUUGUGUUUGUGGAAGGAACUUUUCUUUCCUUAUGUUUGCAGAAUUGAAUAACAAAGCUUCUUGUGCAGGUUUUUUGUUGCUAGUGUGCACACACAUUUAAUGAUCCCAUAGGCUUUAACUUGAGGUGUGCAUCAAGUUUUAACCUCCCAACAAAAUAUAUUUAAAUUAUUUUCUGAAUCAUGAUGCAUCCUGUUAUUCUGUGUCCUAUUUUACCCUCUAUUUCUUUCAUAUAAAUUCAAGUGAGCAGAUGAUAAUUGUGAAAAGUGUGCUCAAGGAAGAUGGAAAGGGAUUUCUUUGAAAGGCAGACUGCAUGUGCUUACAGGGGGGUUGAUUUCUACUGGAUAUCCCAUUGUAAGGUCAUGUCAAACACCUGUGUUACUUACAAGUGAAAGUUAGAGUGGAGAAAAUAAACAAUCUUCUACAAAGUAUGUAUUAAGCAUCUAGGUCAGUAUGGAAGAUUUUUUUUUUUUUUAAUAUGUUAUAAUUUUCUCUUUUAUUUCUGAUAUUAGCAUUGGAUCUAUGUGCAAAAAGAAGCUUCACCAAACUUUUGUUCUUCAGUCUUUUUAUACAUGAAUGUAAAAAACAGUCUUGCCAGGGAUGAACUGCAAAAUCACAAGGAAAUUUUUCAUGUAUCUGCUACCUUUAAUAGCUACUCACCCUCAACAUAAAUGCCUUAAAUUUUACUUUUUUUUCCCCCCCAAGAGGGAAAUAAUUGAAUAGAUGUAAUUCAAACUAGGGAAAAGCUUUUGAAGGCUGGAGAAUAGAUUUUAAGCUGUUUUUAUUCCUGCUGUUAUGAGGGUUUUUUUCAGCUGUCUUACAGAGUCAGUCAUACACCUUUUAUACCUUUUAUUUUUCAUAAGGAGUCACAUGGUUUCCUUUCACUUCCCUUGAAUAAAAACAAAGAUAUGAAUUUGGUGCAUGCUUUGGUGCUGACUGGAGUGAGAACGCAUUCCAGGAUCCUAGUUUGUCUCUUGAUCACAUUCUGUCCUAUGGAGUGUAAGUCUUUGAUUGUAUUUCGUGGACCUUGAGCCAAUGGCCAGUACUGGGCCCCAAAUUAGCUUUAGAAAUAAAUUGAGGACUGAUUCUGUCAUCAUAUGAGAUAGAUCUAAAUGACAGGUAAAGCUGUAUUAAGGUAUGGGAUUCUAUAGGAGACACUGUGUCACAUACAAGCCCCAGAGACACCAACCUUCUCGUGUUCCUAUGAUGUCAUAGAAUUACAGAAUCAUUUGACUUGGAAUGAAUCCUUAAAGGUCAUAUAGUCCAACUCCCCUGCAGUGAGCAGGGACAUCUACAGCUAGAUCAGAUUGACUCAGACUCAGAGCUCAGUCCAGUCUGACCUUCAGCGUCUCCAGGGAUGGGGCAUCCACUGCCUCUCUGGAAAACCUGCUCCUGGGCUUCACUACCCUUAUUACCAUCUUGCAGAGCUCAUCAAAAGCAUCUGGUUGAGUUUUUGAAGGCAGCUAUGACCUUAGGCAUUUCAAUUAGCCCUACAUGCCUACAGUACAGCUUUGCUAUGGAAAACAUCUGUAAAAUGGCUUUGCAGAUUUCUGCUUUCCUUGUGCUUCAGCAAUUCUAAAUCAAGUUAACUUCAUUAAGAAAAUAAAAUUAAUUAUUGGUGAGAA